GUCCUAGAUGCAGCAGCGCAUAUACUAAAAUUGGGACAAUACAGAAAAGAUUAGCACGCUCUCUGUGAAAUAUGACAUGCAAAUUCAUGAAACAUUCCAUAUUUUU